GUGCCAGCAGCCGCGGUAAGACGUAGGGCGCGAGCGUUGUCCGGAUUUAUUGGGCGUAAAGAGCUCGUAGGCGGCUUGUCGCGUCGAAUGUGAAAUCUCAGGGCUCAACUCUGACAUUGCAUUCGAUACGGGCAGGCUAGAGUUCGGUAGGGGAGACUGGAAUUCCUGGUGUAGCGGUGAAAUGCGCAGAUAUCAGGAGGAACACCGGUGGCGAAGGCGGGUCUCUGGGCCGAUACUGACGCUGAGGAGCGAAAGCGUGGGGAGCGAACAGGAUUAGAAACCCUCGUAGUCC
rnacentral:rRNA from 1 species